rnacentral:lncRNA from 1 species
GAUAAAGGUCCCAAUAAUGAAGAUUCCCUUGCAGAUGCAACCUCUGAGCUGGAAACACAGGAAAGGCCUGAGGCCCAGAGCUGAUAAUGCGCACAGUGCAGAGAAAAAAGUGACACGGCAAGUUUGGGCUCAACUGAGGGCUUCGUGAUCGGAGGUGAAGACCAACAAAAGCCACUUGUGAAUGUUG